CCAAACGUGUUUAGAUAAAGUGCAUUUAGAUAUGACACUUAAAGUAGACUUCUAGCGUGAAUAACAACGCCAAAGGCCCUUGACCAAGCGUCCGUAUUUUACGCGAUGGGAGUUAGAAUGUGUUG